rnacentral:rRNA from 1 species
CCUACGGGUGGCAGCAGUGAGGAAUAUUGGUCAAUGGGCGAGAGCCUGAACCAGCCAAGUCGCGUGAGGGAUGACGGUCCUACGGAUUGUAAACCUCUUUUGCCGGGGAGCAAAAAGCGGUACGUGUACCGUAUGGAGAGUACCCGGAGAAAAAGCAUCGGCUAAGCCCGUGCCAGCAGCCGCGGUAAUACGGAGGAUGCGAGCGUUAUCCGGAUUUAUUGGGUUGAAAGGGUGCGUAGGCGGCGAGUUAAGUCAGCGGUAAAAUUUCGGGGCUCAACCCCCAUAUGCCGUUGAAACUGGCUGCCUUGAGUGGGCGAGAAGUAUGCGGAAUGCGUGGUGUAGCGGUGAAAUGCAUAGAUAUCACGAAGAACUCCGAUUGCGAAGGCAGCAUACCGGCGCCCAACUGACGCUGAGGCACGAAAGUGUGGGUAUCGAACAGGAUUAGAUACCCGAGUAGUC